UCUCUGCUACAGCACUGAUGAUUUGACCUGUUGACAGAUGACAAGCUGCACAUUGUGACAGGAGACCAGAUGCGCCUGGUUCUGAGGAGUAGGCAGCAGGUUGAAACGGCUCUUUUGGACUUUCACAACGAACUUAACCACCUCAAUGUCAGCAAGUGUCUCAGACUGCUCAACGAAAGGUAUUACUGGCAAACAAUGAAGCCUGAUGUGGUUCAGUGGAUCAACAACUGUUCUCGGUGCAGCCUGAAGAUGAA